CGUGAAACCGUCCAGGGGUAAACCUGCGAAACUCGAAUGAACGAACGGAGAGAUUCAUCGUCAUUCCCCGGCGCACGGGCGCGUACGCUCGAUGCUCCGCACCCCCCGGUUCGCGCCGGGUCGGGGCGGGGCACGUGUCGCGUCCGUUUAGCGCUCCGGGGACGGCGUGCACUUCUCUCUCAGUAUUAGCAUCGCGACCCGUUCGACGUCGGUCUAAGCGCCCUCCGGGAGUCUUCGCUUCCUCCGCGUUGUGUAGACCGCGAGGUGCUUCGCCGACCGGCUGUCGGACGGUAUAUCGUACGAAACGCGCACGCGCUUCGCGCGCGUCCGGCCCGACGCAAGGCGAUGCGUCGUAUAUAUUCCCUCGUCCUGCCCGAGUGCGGACGGGGGUGCGGCGCGCCUGUUGUCGCCGCCGUGCCAGUCUCGGACUGUGCGCGUGUCCGUCUGCGA
rnacentral:rRNA from 1 species